CACGUAAGGGGCAAGCGUUGUUCGGAUUUAUUGGGCGUAAAGGGCGCGUAGGCGGUUUUGCAAGCCUGAUGUGAAAGCCUGGGGCUCAACCCCGGAACUGCAUUGGGAACUGCAAGACUUGAAUCAUGGAAGGGAAACUAGAAUUCCAGGUGUAGGGGUGAAAUCUGUAGAUAUCUGGAAGAAUACCGGUGGCGAAGGCGAGUUUCUGGCCAAUGAUUGACGCUGAGGCGCGAAAGUGCGGGGAGCAAACAGG
rnacentral:rRNA from 1 species